GAUGAACGCUGGCGGCGUGCCUAAUACAUGCAAGUCGAGCGAACAGAUGAGAAGCUUGCUUCUCUGAUGUUAGCGGCGGACGGGUGAGUAACACGUGGGUAACCUACCUAUAAGACUGGGAUAACUCCGGGAAACCGGGGCUAAUACCGGAUAAUACUUUGAACCGCAUGGUUCAAAAGUGAAAGUCGGUUUCGGCUGUCACUUAUAGAUGGACCCGCGCCGUAUUAGCUAGUUGGUAAGGUAACGGCUUACCAAGGCGACGAUACGUAGCCGACCUGGGCGGGUGCUCGGCCACACUUGAACUGAGACACGGUCCAGACUCCUACGGGAGGCAGCAGUAGGGAAUCUUCCGCAAUGGGCGAAAGCCUGACGGAGCAACGCCGCGUGAGUGGUGAAGGUCUUCGGAUCGUAAAACUCUGUUGUUAGGGAAGAACAAAUUUGUUAGUAACUGAACAAGUCUUGACGGUACCUAACCAGAAAGCCACGGCUAACUACGUGCCAGCCGCCGCCGUAA
rnacentral:rRNA from 1 species